AGAACGAACGCUGGCGGCAGGCCUCAAACAUGCAAGUCUAGGGGGCGUAGCAAUACGUCACCGGCGGACGGGUGCGUAACACGUGGGAAUGUACUUACUGGUUCGGAACAACUCAGGGAAACUUGAGCUAAUACCGAAUGUGCCCGAAAGGGGAAAGAUUUAUCGCCAGUAAAUCAGCCCGCGUCCGAUUAGCUAGUUGGUGGGGUAAAGGCCCACCAAGGCGACGAUCGGUAGCUGUUCUGAGAGGAAGAUCAGCCACACUGGGACUGAGACACGGCCCAGACUCCUACGGGAGGCAGCAGUUGGGAAUCUUGGACAAUGGGGAAACCCUGAUCCAGCCAUGCCGCGUGAGUGAUGAAGGCCUUCGGGUUGUAAAACUCUUUCGACGGGGACGAUAAUGACGGUACCCGUAGAAGAGCUCCGGCUAACUUCGCGCCAGCAGCCGC
rnacentral:rRNA from 1 species